rnacentral:rRNA from 1 species
AGUGAACGCUGGCGGUAGGCCUAACACAUGCAAGUCGAACGGCAGCACAGUAAGAGCUUGCUCUUACGGGUGGCGAGUGGCGGACGGGUGAGGAAUACAUCGGAAUCUACUUUUUCGUGGGGGAUAACGUAGGGAAACUUACGCUAAUACCGCAUACGACCUACGGGUGAAAGCAGGGGAUCUUCGUACCUUGCGCGAUUGAAUGAGCCGAUGUCGGAUUAGCUAGUUGGCGGGGUAAAGGCCCACCAAGGCGACGAUCCGUAGCUGGUCUGAGAGGAUGAUCAGCCACACUGGAACUGAGACACGGUCCAGACUCCUACGGGAGGCAGCAGUGGGGAAUAUUGGACAAUGGGCGCAAGCCCGAUCCAGCCAUACCGCGUGGGUGAAGAAGGCCUUCGGGUUGUAAAGCCCUUUUGUUGGGAAAGAAAAGCAGCAGGUUAAUACCCCGCUGUUCUGACGGUACCCAAAGAAUAAGCACCGGCUAACUUCGUG